GAUGAACGCUGGCGGCGUGCCUAAUACAUGCAAGUCGAACGCACCAUUUCGGUGGUGAGUGGCGAACGGGUGAGUAACACGUAGGUAACCUGCCCUUAAGACGAGGAUAACCAAGGGAAACUUUGGCUAAAACUGGAUAGGAACAUAAGAGGCAUCUCUAAUGUUUUAAAAGACCUAGCAAUAGGUAUGCUUAAGGAGGGGCCUGCGGCGCAUUAGUUAGUUGGUGAGGUGAAGGCUUACCAAGACGAUGAUGCGUAGCCGGACUGAGAGGUUGAACGGCCACAUUGGGACUGAGACGACCGGCCCAAACUCCGUACGGGUGCAG
rnacentral:rRNA from 1 species